UCCGCCCUGACCUGGUCCUCACCGGCUUCUGCACUCUCAUGGCUGUCCUAGGGCACCGCGGCCCGCUCAUUGUGGAAUAGAAAAGGCAGGCGUUGAUCCGAUGACCACCAAAACGAAUUCAGCCCUGAUAAGGAGGGUCGUGAUGCUCCCGGGAUGGACCUGGGUCGGAGGAGCUACGGACAUGUCUCCCAAGCCAGUACCCUCCACCCCUCAACACCCCACCCUUAGCAGCCUGGCUAAGCCCAUCUAACCUAAACCCGGGAGGUUGGCUCCUUCCUUCACCUGGGACCAGGAGAGCUGCCUUACUGCUUAAGUGUGUCUUGCCUCUUACCGGUUCAAAAGCAGUGUAAGCUUCUGGAAGGCAAAGACAGAGCUCCUAUUGUAAGUCUGUGAUGGCCCACCUUGGCCCUGAAGAACAGAUGGAUCUCAACAGACUCACUUGACUUUAGAGCGGAUCCUGUUGUUCACAACUAGGAACAUUGAUGCAGAUGGGGAGAGCAAUGAGUACUGGCUAGGUGGUUGGAUGGGCAGGUGGAAGGAUAGACGAGUGGACAAAGCAUGUAUGGUCCUGCUUCGCCUCGAGGAAGGAUGACACGGAUGUGGACGUCGGUGACUCAUGUCCCAUUGUUCCGCCCUCUCCCCUCCUGGGCUCCCAGUGCCACUGCCCCUCGGCUGACAUGUGCCACGCUCUUGUUCUGCAGCGAUUUUCUGUGGGCAUGCCUUGUCACCAGGCACACAGUCAGCUCCACGGGGACUGGAAUUGCAGCUUGGGUGGUUUUCUUCCUCUCCAACUUCUAUGAGUUUUGCAAACUCAAUUCCUCAUGGCUUUACUGGAAAUAGGAUUUUUUUUUUUUUUAGCCACAGGGCGCUUGCACUUGCCAGAGACAGAGAGAAAGAGAGGGAAAGUGAUAAACCGCUCGCUGGAGGGGAUGGC